UGUGAAAUAUAUUUAUUAUAUAUAAUAUAAAAUAUACAAAAAUAUAAAUUUAAAAUCGUAUAGAUGAACUUAUCCAGUAUGGCCUUUUACAUUCUAAUGUUUUCCAUUCUAGUUUAGGUUACCUAGGAUCUGGAUUUGGCUAAUAAACAAUGACCAAGGGGCACCUGGUUGGCUCAGUCUCUUAAGCCUCUGAUUUCAGCUCAGGUCAUGAUCUCGCAGUUCAUGAGUUUGAGCCCCGCAUCGGGCUCUGUGCUGGCAGCUCAGAGCCUGGAGCCUGCUUCGGAUUCUGUGUCUCCCUCUCUCUCUGCCACUCCCGUGCUCACACACUGUCUCUCUCAAAAAUAAAUAAACAUUAAAAAAUAAAUUUAAAAAAAAAUGACCAAGCCAUUGAUCCAGGAAAGAAGGAUGGGCAGAGGAUGAUUACAGAUAACUCUGCUCUGAAAUUUCCUCCCUUAUUCCUGCCACACCUGCACCUAGAGUUUUCCUUAAUCGUAGGAAAUACGCAUGUAUUUUCUGUGGCUGCGGCUUCUAUUUUCUGUGACGACUGGCCAGUCAGCUCAAGUCACAGGUCCAUUGGAAAUCCUUUGUGCCUCCUACCCACUGGCUGACAGUGGUGUUUACCUCGGACCCUACAGCUGACCUCCGAGGCUUCCCAGGUGUGCAUGGCCUGGAACAGAAACCUCAGUUUGUUGGCAGCCACAGGUGUGGAUAAUUUGUUUUUUCUUUUCUCAUUUGUUUAGAUUCUUGUGGUAGGAAUUCAGCAGGUGUGUAAUGCUAGCAUAGAAUCUCUACUUGGCACAGAGGCCAGCUACCCUCAAAAAAAAAGAUGUUCUUAUUGGUCUUGCAACCCUGCCAGUUUGGAUCCCCGUUUUCCUGGAAACCUCACGCAAGGGCAAGACUCUGCCUAACCGGUGAGUUAGGAUAAGCUCAUCUCAGAAGAUGAGCGUGAAGAAUCUCCGUUUGGGAACCUUAUCAAUGGGCAGGAGCAGGUUACCUAGUGCUGCCCUUUGUGGGUUUUGUUUUUCCUUCUCUUUUCCUUUGUAAUGUGAGCGGCCACCGUUGCAGUUACAGGGAUGUGGGAAAUCCUGGACUUGGUUUCUAAGGAGAUAUAAGCCAGGCUAGGAUGCUCUUGUUGACACGUAAAUAUCUGCUCAUUUGAUGGAGACUAAACAGGAGAAGCACAGACAGAGAUUAGUCCACUGUGCAGGGUCCUUCCAUCUUCCUGCUGUCUCCUCAGGAAGUCACUAAUCCCAGGACCCAAUUAUUUCAGUAGAGGGCCAGGUGAACUUGGAGGUCAUCCCUGACCAUGUCUAACUUUAACCGGGGGACAGAGGGAGGGAGCUAUGGUAACACUGGGGGAACCAGUUGGCUAAGCCAAGAGCCACUGUCAUCAGUCUGUCAGCAGUGUGGUACUGGGGCCAGAGAACCUUCUCUCUUGGCCCUCCUUGCAAAAACAUUUGUACAAUGGCUUCUCCUGGCUAGGUCGUGAUAUCUAAAGAAAUAGACACACACACAACCUUCUAUUCCUCAGUUUUCCUUUAUUAUGGAUUGUUCUCCAGUUUUUGUUUUUAGAAUCAAAGUUGGAGUUUAUUUGAUGUUGUUUUUACUUGCAUACCCAUAAUAUAAGACAGGGGCUAAGGGGGCAGGGAGGUCACAGUGAUUUGCCCUAUGGGCCCUAUACUUCUCUGAAUGUAGGCAUUGGUCAUCUAUUCCCUUCAGGUAAUACAAAUGCACCACAAUGAAAUGAUGACAUAUGUCAGAGGAACAUUUGUCUCAGAGGGCAGCAGAUGGGAUCUGUAAAUCAUACUUGGAGAAAAGGGUGUCACAUGUGAGUAUCAGAUAGCCAGUAGACUAGUCUUUCAUUCUGCAUGUUAACCUUCUACAAAUGCAGAUAUUUAUGUUGAUAUACGUCUGAUAUAACAGCACUGGCUGAAGAGCACUGAUAGUAAUAAUCCAGAGAAGUAAACAUUAAACAUCGCAUGGACCAUUAAAAUCAAUUUCACAGCCGCUAUAUUUUUGUAGUGGCAUUUCAUGUAUUCAUCUUUAGCUCUUGCUGAUGUAUUGGUUUAAUCGUGGCAUCUCUUGAGAAUCUAGUUUUUCUGAAAGAAUACGUAAGUGAGAUAAAACCUUUACACUGAGCUCCACAAUCGAGGAUGGUCAAUCAUAUGUCCAGCAUUUGGGUAGAACUUACUUUAUAUCCAAGUCAUUGCCCCCCUUAAGAGAUGAGGAGGGAUUAAAAAUAGCUCUGUUGCCCAAUGGAUGAUACUCGAAAAGAAAAAGAAUUAUCAUUGUGUUUAAUAAGAGAACUGACAAGCAAUCAUAAUUCUUUCCAUUAAGUAAAUAUGUUAGAAAAAUUUAUUAUGAAAUGACACAUUAUGCGAGCCAGGAAUCAAAGAUGACAUCCUUGCAUUAAAUACGGUAGAUGCCAUUAAGGAAAACAGUCAAUAUGUCACCAAGCCAUGGCCUGUAAAAAUUAAAUUGAUUUGGUAAAUGUAAGUAAGAUAGAUCUGUUUGCUUUCAUCAUCAAUUUUGAGUGGGUGAACAGGUGAUGUCACCAACCUGGGAGCGAUAAAGAUGCAGGACCAUCUGGAAAGGCAGGUGAUGAAUGGGCAACUGCUUUUGGAUAGUGACAGUGCUGUGGUACUUUGUCACUUGGGAUGCAGUACUUAAUAACUUUUCAAUACCAUCAUAAUAAAUUUCACUGCCUUAUUAAUAUAGAAAUGGUGAGUUAUUACUAUGAUGGGGAAUGUAAAUAACGGGAGACGCAGCCGUCAAAAGCUGAUUGUUUGGGCAUGUUUCUUUAAGCAACACGGUUGACUCGUGAUAAUCAACCUAUGUCUAUACCAGUAGAGUUUAUUGCACUUGUCAAAGGAAAAAGUAGUAUUAUUCAAAAUUAUAUGAAGUCGUAAUAAACAAGUUUAAUAUAUUAUCAGACUUUUCCUGUAAGUUUCCAAACAUGAGGCAGUAAAUCAUUUUUAAUAAUGUCUUUUCAUGUAAAAUAAUGUCCUUAUGCAGUAAUAAUGUCCUUUCUUAACUAUUAACAAAACAGUCGACUUCUUUGUAUGUGUUUUAAGGGGUAUUUUUAUUUGUACUUUUCAAUCAUUUUCUUCUGCAAAUAAAGAGCUACGGCAGGAACCUUAGGACGUUUCAUUAACAAGCUUGAAAGUUGCUGAGUACAGGCCAUGUCACGCAUUUCCAUUUUAAUUGAACAGAUGUACUUAAGAGUAAACCACAGCAAACGAAAUACAGACGAAAUUAUAAACACGUGUCACUGGGCAGUAGGCAGGAAAGAACCUCUGAUGAGCAUCUGUGUGUAUUUUAUGAAGCCAAGGACUGCCACUUCAUAAGUUCGUCACUGAUGUCUCCAGUUUAAUGAGAAGAAACAAAAUAUGUAGAUAGGUGUAAGUUGAAGAUGAAUUAGUAGAUCAAUCACUUAGCACCAUUCAGGGUGUCUGCCGUUGCGCGGUGGGAAAAUAAUUAGAUCUGAGAUGCUGUUCUUAUUUAUAGGCCGGCUGUUCGAUGUGGGAUGGAAUAUGGGAAACUUCCUCUUUCAUGUCACUGUGGUCUUUAUAUUGUUUCUUGGCCAGGCUGACUUUUAAUUCUGACAUUGUCUUUCAGGCUGCAGUCGGCCAGCCUCUUUCUUAAAUGAAAUGCCUCUCCACCAUUUCUAUUACUGCUGAAAAGAGAGCCAGCAGUCUAUUAACAGGCAAUAAAGUUCAGGAAGCCCAGGACUCAUUUCUUGGGUCAGAGGUGAAAAUUGCAAUACUAAAUGAAACAAAGGUGUGCCUUGAUCGCUCAAGAAGCAGCACCAGAAAGAACACACGUGUUGUUAGCCAGAAGUCUCCCACUUAAAGGGAAAGGAAUAAUCGUAAUAAUGUUGGCCGAUGGAGUUAAGUACUCAGUUGAGAGAAAUUAUAUCAAUCUGACAAAUAUAGCCUUCACAGGAGAUAAAGUCUCUAAUGACCUUAAAUGCAUAUAUUUAUCAUUUAAUUCAACAAGCCAAUUCCCUUGGGCUUUUGACCAACGACAUUUCCCCUCAAGUUUGGAAAUUUUUUACUAGCCCAGAGAGUAAUGGUUAUUUGUCAGAGGGUUCCAAAGCUAAACGCAGUUGGAAGCAAAGAAUGGGAGAGAAGGAAAAAAAUGGCUAAUAGAGUCUUUCUACCUCAGAGAAUAUUAAUCCGAACUUUCAUUGAUGCGAGCGCUGCAGCAUUUCGUGGCUGAACAGUAGGUGGCAGACAUUGUAGUGAAGAAAUGGGGAAAUUUUAAUCUAAGCAAUUUUCAUCUGAUUUCAUUAACUUCCAGAUAUGUCAUCAGUGUGCACAGCACAUUAAUUUGCAAAAAAAUAGGAACACUAAAUAGUUGUGAAAUGUGCUAGUUGAAUGUGGAAAAAUCAAAAGGGUCCUACAGAAAUAAAAGCAAAAGUUCUAAUGUUUCAUCAGGUAAAGUGUGUGUGAAACAGGAAAGCCCAAAGAAUAAAGGGGCCCUUGUGUAUGGUGGGCUUUUCCUCACUGUUAUUCUUGGUCUCAACUUGAUGAAGUGUAUUAGUGAUAUGCACGAAGCACUGUGACUCCUGUAUCUCCCUUUGUGAGAUUGUCCAUGCCUUUGUUUGUGCUGUCAGUCAGUUGUUCUUUCUCUUGGGCAGCCACAUUGGUAACCACAGGAUCUACUUGCAAAUAGAUUUCUGUAAAACCAUAUUAUCCUUCAGCCCUUGGCUCCUUCUCCCCACCCCCCUUCCCGCAACAAUCUGGCCAUUCAUGUGGCAUGGCUCUCUUGCUGGCUUCUUUGUCAUACGUCUAGUGGUUUGUGUUUCAGGGAGGCCGCGUGAGAUAGUGCAAGGAACACUGGCCUGGGUGCCAGGAACCUUGAGUGCUUGCCCCAACUUGGACUUGGGACCUUGGAAAGUCACCUGGUUUUCUCCUCUGAAGCCUCGCUGAGAUCUACUCUAGCUUUGACUUGGAGUUUUUGAAUUUUGUUCAUUUACUCGUUCUUCACUUCUUUUUACCCUUCUGGAUGUGCUCUGCAUUAUUAUGGUUUUUGAGACUUUAUUUAUAUGGGGGCCAUGUUUCAGUCUUUGAACCCUGGGAAGGAUACAAAUUAAUUUUAAAUUAAGUAGAAAAUAGAUGCUUGUUUUAAAUUUUCUCUUGUAUUCAACUAGUAGAAUUGUGUUUUGUAAACCUGAAAUCAAAGCACCUUUGAUAUGUGCAUCUCUUUGUGGAUUUUGCGUUGAGCAGAGAAGGCAGCUGGAGACCAAAGCCCUGUUUUGAGAAGAAAGUAAGUUGGUUAGAGAGAGCACUCUACUCCUAGCUCUUUUUGGAAAGAUAAAAGUAUUUCAUUCUGUCCCUGGGGUAUGAUUUAGUGCAGCCUCAACUAUAUAUGAAGGCAAUGUUCAAAGAUACCACGUGGUCAUCUCAAAUAUAACACAGGUAUCACGGGCACAUCUUAAAAAAAAAAAAAGAGGCCAUAUAAUAUAGGGGCUGAAGAUGUCAGGUCUAGAGACAAAUGACCUUGGUUCACAUUCUCUACCACCUUACUUUGUGAGCUUGAACAAGUACUUGACUACUUUUUGCCUCAGUUUCGUCAUCUGUAAGGUGGUAGUUACAAUAAGGAUUGCCUUGGAGGAUUUUUGUGAAGGUUAUGUCGUAAAGUAUCAUAAAGGGCUUGGAGCAGGGCUUGGUGUGCCACAGUAAGCACUUCAAGGCAAGCUGAUCUUGAUAAUCUUUGUCACCAUCAUCAUUCCAAAGUUGGGGAUGUUCCUUGCAUCCCUUUUGUGAGGGAAGGACUGGGGGAUUCAGUUUUGGGGGUUGGAGCUCUCUGGGUUGACAGGGCUACCACACUGCAAGAAUUAAAUAUCGUCUCCUUUCUGAGUAGCACAGGGAAGCGGCCUUCCUAGGCCCAAGAUGCUUGAAACUCUCAUAGAUGUUUAAAUGGUUCUUUUAACUGAAGACUCUAGUAAGCAUUUCUAAACAGUUCAGAGGAGGAGGUUUUGACUCCAUGUCUAACGAACACAUUAGAACACAUGCCACCUACUCCUGUGGCUUGGUGGUGGAGCGGAGAGAGGAAAAUGUGCCCCUCAGCCCUAACCCUCUUCAUAGAACCUUCCUUUGAAGGGCUUUCUCUCCUCUGUACUCAUCCUUGUAUUUCUUGGCGCUCAGCACGCCUGCGUGUUGCAUAUGCUGCCCCCUCAGCUUUUAGCUAGAUAAUAAUGGGACUGAUUUUUUCUAGCAAUAAGUUUGAUCUAGUCUACAGAUUUGGGCAAGACAGGUGUACCUGAGGACUGCGAUGGUAUCCUUUCUGAAUAACCUAGGAACAAACAUGCCUCUUGAGAGCGAGUGUCUAACCUUGAGUGAGGAAAGCAUAAUCUGCCUAUUCACAGACCUUAUCACAGUUUCAUGUGAAAUAACAACCCUGGUCAUCUGGUGACUCUGCCUUCUUCCUGGAACCCCCCACUGAGUGAAAAUGACCGAAUCAUUGGGAACGAUAUCAUCACCAAAUAUAUUGUGAUGAAGUCUCUGAAGUGGAAAGGCAAGCCUUAAUCUUUUUGUACAUUGUCAUUUGUUUAUUCUUAAAUUUCUCUUAGAAAUAAAUGUGGUACCUGGUGGAUCAGUGGGGUUCUGAGACUUUGUGGACAGAAAUGUGGGGAUUCAUAGAUAAGACUGCAGAGGACCCAUUAUGACUUCGCAUAUGUAAAAUUUCACUGUUCAACGUUGCUUUUAAGCAUUUUGGACAAGAGAAGAAUCAAAAGUUGUGGGUUUUUAAUUUUCCUUACAAAGAAAUAACAAAAUAUGUGCUAUUGAAAACUGUGGGUAAGCUCUCUGACUCACAGGCAGUUGGAAGGGGAGAGGGUACUUGAAUUAUUUGGUUGAGGAUUUAUGGCUGAAAGUGACAGUAGCCUGAAGUCAAGUUUGCCUGCGUGUGGGUAGAAGCUUCCUGAAGGAAGACUUGGAGGGUGGAACAGUGGUAGGGGGCCUCUGCUUUCCUGCAGCACAGCUACCUUCUCCUUCCACUUCUCUUGACCAGUACAACAUAAUGUUAGUGUCUUCUAACUUCUGUGGCAUAGACUGAAUUGCCACCAAACUGCCACAUGCUAAUGAUUCUCCAUUUACACAAACUCUGUUGUAUCCUAAGGUCUCUCUUUGUGUGGGGGCUUCCAUUGAGAACAAUCUGGAUUUAGUAAUACACUUAAUUGAAAGGUUUAAUAAGAACUUAGGACUUUGUUUUCUUUUGUGACUUGGAAAAGACAGUAAUCUUAAGAAAGCCAGAUGUGAAUGUUUUUAACAAGAGAAUUUUCACUUUCCUUGUACCUUCCAAAGCAUGAGAAUUCUCCUUUGAAGAUGUUAAUUUUGUAAGAAUAUUAUCAACAAUAUAAAGGCUGAAGAGUAGUUGAAUUUGCCUGUAGAAGAGCAGGCUAAAAACACGGAAGGCACUUCAUGAAAUCAUGAAUUACUAUGAUUUAAAUUACAGAGUUUCAUAUGGACCCCUGAACAUUGAUUUCUCAGGAACGUUAUGCAGGGUAUUAUGGGAGGGAGGUAUGAAAUGUCACUUGAUGAGCUUGACUCAAAAAGUGUUCAUUUGAAGUUUGAUUCCUUAUUCAACCACCAAAACUGAUUGAUAGGGACGUGGAUCUCCAAUUGACUUUAAUUUCUGCUCCAUGAAUCUUCCAUGAACUCACUGAGAGUCUAAGAUGCGGUUGUAAAGCUUGGAAAGUUUGGGUUUCUGUGUGUAGUUCAGGUAACCUCCAAGCACCGAUCCCCAGUUGCAAUCAUCCAAGUAGCGUUGAGAAGAGGAAAAAAAAAAAGUCAUUUGCUUUCAGUUUCUAUGAGGUAGGGUGAAAGAUGCUGUAACCAGGUAAGGUAACACUUAAAGUAUUACAACUUUUAAGUCAAGAACGUCAGAAUUGUCAUGUGACAUGUGAUAUGUGAUAUGCACGUAGAUAAACAGAGCCUUUUUAAGCACAAAUUCUGGUAGACUAGAUUUAGUAUGGGUGGGAUAGGCCUGGGAGGUGAGUGAAUUCUAUCUGAACAAAAAAGAUUUCAGAGAAGCACUAAUUAUCACAAUAGGAUGUUAGAAUUCACUACCCAAGAUAGGAGAGGUUGAAAACAUAUCAUAAAAAAAGAAAAUAUGUCAUAAAUCAGGUGGUAUUUCCACCAUCAGCUGUACCCCAGCAAGACUCUGUCGGCUGUGAAUUUAUCUGUCAUCAUUUGAGGACAACUUAUGUUUUCAGCCUUGUUAUAAUUUUGUAAGUUUAUCCUAGUCUCAUGGAAAACUUUAUCCGUAUUUACUCUUUCAUUAAAUAGUACCUAUUCAUUUUAGUCCAGACCCCAAAGACUUCCUCCCCUAUGCAACCUCUGAGCUUAGGAGUCUAGGAAGGACAGAAGGACUGUCUUUGGAUAGUUGUCUUUUUGUCUACUUGUCCUAGGGGUCUGUCUAAUCCCUUUCACCGUCUUGGUCUUCUGUUGUAUAAAAAUAAAAGGUAACUUUCCGUGACCCUAAACAAAGCAUGAACUGCUUGAAGUAAAAAAAGCUGGAUCUCAACAUCGUCUAUAAACCAGGCCCCUCAUGGGCAGAUCACAAAAAUGUCCGAAGAAAAUUAUGCAGUAAGGAAAACUGGCCUCAGUUUUAAAAAAACGAGUGACUCUUUAUUUGCAGGAAGAAUGGAGACCUCUAUUUAAUGUAAGUCCUUUGGUCACUGAGAUGUGUCAGAAAACUUGCCCUUUAUUCUGACGUGCCGUGGUGUUAGCAUUGAAAUGUAAAAAUAAUAAACAGCUGACAUUUUAAGCACAGACUAAACAGCAAGCAAAUGACAUUACCUCCAAGCUCUUGAGAGAGUUACAAGAUGAUGAGCUGCCAAAGGAAGAAAAGGGAGAAAUGGUCACAAAACCUUUGUUUGUGGUAGAGGAAUUGUCAGUGUUUAAUGCCGUCCGCCCACGUCUUACUUGAGGGAGGUUUUGUUUGUAUGGAAAAUUGGUUUUCAGUUUGACUUUGCAUAAAGCAGUAUGAAUGGCAGAAGAUACAUAUGGUUCCAAAAUUCAUUAUUGCUUUUGCUCAUUAGUCGUUGAUGACUAUGUUAAUGCCACCAGUGCGUACUGUCUGUCUGCCGUGUGUCCUGGGGAAAUACCGCGGCGGGAUACGGCGGUGACGAACGCCAGCUUUCUCUUCCCCCCUCUUCCCUUCCUUUUCCUUUCUUCCUCUUACUGUCUUUCUUUUCUCAUUUUCUUUGGGCUUCUUGUAUAUUUUCUUGUCCUGAGUCAAAUGUCAAUACAACUCUCUUUACCUAAGAGUUUUGGUGAAAUUUAUUUGGUAUCCAUCUAAUAUGUGUCACCUUCCUUCAGACCAAAUGUGCACAGGAUCUGACCAUCUGGGGGACAGUUAGUCAUUUUGAGGAUGCAGGUGGGAAACACACCUGUAGUUAGUCACUUACAGGGGCGCUUGUCUAUACUGAAAUGAUUUGCAGGUGUUAAGCAUGUGCUUAUGAAAAAGGGAAAUAAGUAUUUGGGGUCCAGGAGAAAAUUUGCCUCUCAAUUUAAUAUUAUUUACCCUCUUCUCUAUCUCUUGGUUACUUGGGAAACAAACACAUACACUUUUAACUUAAUGUCCUGAAUGGCUGCAAUGAGGAGAUAGAAAUGCAGCUUUGGCUGUUUUAUGUGGUUCAUAAAAGCAUUCUCUCUGGCUCCGAGGAUCCAUUUAUAUUUAGGCUUUAUAGAAACAAUGCUGUAAAGUUUUUUUUUCAGUCUUGAGGACAACAUUGCUUAUUAAAAUCUGUGAUGUGUAGUAUUUUAAUACAUGUUAGCCACAUUUUUUAAGGCCGUUAUAUAGCUGUGAGCCUUGCUAGUGUUCCUAAUAAAGAACAAAAUUAUCUAAACUGUUUGAUGAUUACUAGUGAGUAUUGGUAAACUCCUUCAUGAGCUUUCCUGAAAGCAUAUUAACCAUAUGUCAUGUACCGUGGCAUAAAAAAAUAGAAGCAGUGAGAAAUUCAGCAACCAGGAUCCCCACGCUCUGUGGACAUCAAAUUUGGCAGAUUUUGAAAAUUCUGUGAUCAUUUUUCUCCUUAUGUGACACUACUCUUGUUCAUUCUUCAAAAACAUUUGCCCUAGCGUGGGGAAUUAUAGAUAAUUUGAUGCAACAGGUUUAAGUUACCAUUUUCAUAGUGAAAAGAAUAGCUUAGCAUGAUCCCGAUUUUCCUUGGUUUCCUCCCAUUCUCAAAAGAAGCAGAGGUAUUCACAUUUCUUUGUCUAACAGUUUUAUAAUGUCUUAAGAGAUUAACAGUGAGCAUGAAUGAGGGCCUACGGAUUAGACAACAAAAAGCCUGGGACGUCCACUACCUUACUUGCAAAUUUUACAUUUUCCAGCAUUGCUGAGAGA